rnacentral:lncRNA from 1 species
ACAGUAGUCAACAAAAUCCUUUUUGAAGCACACAUACAUAAGUUUAAUGAUAAUUAUAAAUGUAGUCUCAACCCGAUGUCACUAUCAGAGCGGGAAUUCGCAAUUUAAUAGACAUUAACAACACAAAAUAUAAUAAAAGUCUUCAACAGAAGAUGGCUCUCGCCCCUCUGAUGGUACUAGUCAUCACCUGCAUCUUGCAACUCGUAUGCGUCCAUCGCAAACGCCAAACACAAACAACGAGUGGUGAGUUUCGAAAUUAUAUAACAGUAUAAGACAAACAAGGAGAACAAGCAAGUAGUCAAAACAACACAAAAAAAGAGAAAUAUUCAAGAACAUAAUAUCAAAGUUUAAUCUAAUUCAGUCGCAAUAAAACAAUUACAAGGAUGAAAUAUUAUGCAUGUCCUAUACUCUAUACUUCUUCAUCAUUUGGUACCAUUCUACUCUAAAAUACUUGGUUAUGAGGCCUGAUACUAUGCCACUACAAGAGUGGACGGACAAUUCAUGAAUGGUCAAGUCCUCAUAGAUCUCUCAACUCAACCCGAGACACAUAUACGCGAAGGUCGGGGUACUCUUGUGUUGCACGGUAGCUCUCAGCCUUAGGGAAUAACCCACUAACCCACUUAGGAAUUCCCCACUAGAGGUAUCCCCAAGGUCUAUCAGUCUUACCUUAUAGUUCGAUUGUAUCCCUCCACGAUCAGAUUCAUUCAGUUGUACUUCCCCGAAUCACUAGGUUUGUCAGACCCUCCCUAUAUGAUGACAAAAUAAUCCUAACUCCAAAAUCUACAAUACAUAUCUCACACUUACUCGAUCAUCACAACUCAAUAAGUUUCAAUUUGACUUCACAAUAUUCAUCAUUAUAUAUAUAUAAGUUAAUCACAAUAAAAUCUCAAUAUUUGGUUUACACUACUCACAAUCCACAAUAAAAUGCACUAUAAGUCAAACAAGAAGUUGGAACUAGAAGCUAAGGUAGAAAAAUGCAACACUAACCAAAAAAUUCAACACCAAAAAAAUGUAGCAAAGUUUUCAUCACGAUAUACUGCAUUUGAUCACGAUACACGAACAACUCUCCCUUCCUUUAUGUAACUUUUAUGCAUUAGGUCAUUUAAUAGAUUUCAAUUAUGCAAUUAGCUAAAGUCUAGCCUUGACUAUUUUUCAUGGAAAUGAUUUUAGCAAAAGCAAAGUCUACAUGCCAAAUAAACACUCCUUACUGCAAUGAGAAAUGAACUCUUUGGAAACCAAAUAGGUUUUUAACUUGCCAAAAAAAUAAUGAGUUGAAAUGCAACAACAUCCUCUCAUGUAUACAUAUAAUAAGAAAUUCAGGAACUUGUCAAUAUUAAAAUAAUAUGUAGAAACUAAGCACAAUCAACGCAAGAGUGGCCAAAGACAUACAGUUUCAUAAAAUCAAACAACAUGCAACCUUGAUGUAAAUAAAUUCACGGCAAUUCUAUAGGUUGCUAAAUUAUAUUUUAGUCAUCGCUACUACCAUUCAUAUAUUAUUAGUUAAUUAUUAUUACUCAAUCGGGCUAGUAAGCCCCGGAUGAAUAUCUGGGAAUUUCGGUAUUCCCAUUCAUCCCACGUUAUUUUAUACUCAUAAGAUCGAACUUCAUCUCACCCCUUACCUUGGCUGAAGAUUUUUUCCAACGAAGUCGAUCCGCUUAUUUAAUGUGUCGCGUCUUCGUCAACCAUCGUCUCUAAUAGUCUGCAAAUUAUAAAUAAAACAACACAACAACCAAAUACAGAUUAAUUAUUUGGUAUAAUAGGUAAAUAAAUUGUUUACUAUUUACAACACCCUUCCAAUAUAUAUAUUUAAUACUAUGUAUACUUAUAGUUAUAUCAAUAUAAACAAUAUCUAAAAAAAUAUAUAAUUAUAUAUUGCUAAAUACAUAUAGUUUAUGUAUAAUUUUGAUAUAACAGUAGUGUAAUAAUAUAUCAUAUGUAUUUUAAAUUAAAUAACAAGGCUAUUAGAUACAAUAAAAGUAGACUCUUUAUUAUUAAUAUAUAAACUGUAAAUGGUAGCGCAUGCACAUAUAUAAAUAUGGUAUGUGCUAUCUUCACAUUAAAAUAGGAAAAUUAUCGGAUUGUGUUUAUAAAAUAGAAAAUAUAUUUUCAAUAUUUAUAUAAAGGAGAAUUUAAACGCAUGACACUUCGAAUUUCCUAACAAAAAUUAUAUUGUAUAAGAUUUUAGCAUCAAUAGAUUUAGAUAUUCAAUUAAAUAUAUCAAAUUAAUUUCAACACAACGUAACAAUUCUACUACUUGUAAAAACACAGGGAACAAUUCUGCUACUUUAGAGACAGAGUUUACAAUUUUGUUUAAAACACAUGACUCUUCAGAUCAAAAUUUCAUUUUAUAUAUAGUUGAUAUUCAAACAGAAAAAAAAAAAUAUUAAUGUUAAUCAUGAUUGUGAAAAAUCAACUAAAACAGAAAAGGUGAUAAAUUAUAUGAUCAAAAAACAGAAUUCAAAUAACAAUGGCAUAGACAGUGGGUGUUCGCAAAUAAUUUAAAAAUGGCAAGAAACUAACCGGAGAAGAUGAAAGAUAUUGUAAAAAUGAUCGGUGUGCGGGACUGUAUCUAUGGCUGGCUUGUUGAAGGAAUUGGAAACCGAAUACUGAAAAGAAGGUUUGGUGCGGC